rnacentral:rRNA from 1 species
CUCCUGAGAGCUCUUAGGUAACCCCUGCCCUAUGAACAGUUUAAAUGGCCGCAGUACUUUGACUGUGCAAAGGUAGCAUAAUCACUUGCUUCAUAAUUAGGAGCUGGAAUGAAGGGGGCGACGAAAUCUAGACUAUUUGUGAAAUAAUGUAAAUUGACAUUGUGGUUAAAAGGCCACAAUAUAUCAAAGGGACGAUAAGACCCUAUAAAACUUUACCCUUAGAUCUAGAUUUGCUUAGAUAUAAUCUACUAUAAGGGUUGAACUGGGGCGGUAUUUAUAUAAACAAUCUUAUAGUAAAUAUUUUACAUAAAUUUAAAGAACUCUACUAGGAAAUUUAGAAUAAGUUACUUUAGGGAUAACAGCAUAAUUCUCCCAGAAAGUACUAAUUGGCGGGAGAGCUUAUGACCUCGAUGUUGAAUUGGGGCUCCUUAUAUAAGCAGAAAUAUAUGUAGGUAGUCUGUUCGACUGUUACACCCCC